rnacentral:lncRNA from 1 species
AGAGGAUGGAUGGGGUACUUACCAUGGAAGGGCCGCACUUGGGACGAUGGAUGGUGGCUAUCUGUUGGUGGUAGUUAGAGACGGAGACUUAGGGCGGCUUGAGGAAGAUGGCGGCUGGGUCAACUCGGCCUGAUUCAAAGACAAGUCAAUACGGACCGGCAAUAGCCAAUAUGGACUCGAAUUGGGCCAACUCGGUGGCUAGAUCCGACGGCUGGAUCCAGCCCACCAAAAUCAUGUGACGGCGAUUUUCGAUUAGAUCUACACUUGAUCCAAUGAUCGGAUCUGGAGAGGGGA